rnacentral:tRNA from 1 species
GCCAGCGUAGCUCAGUGGCAGUAGCGACCGUUUCAUAAGCGGUAGGUCACUGGUUCGAUCCCAGUCGCUGGCACCC